GACGAACGCUGGCGGCGUGCUUAACACAUGCAAGUCGAACGGUGAUGCUCCAGCUUGCUGGAGUGUAUCAGUGGCGAACGGGUGAGUAACACGUGAGCAACCUGCCCCAGACUCUGGAAUAAGCGCUGGAAACGGCUUCUAAUACUGGAUACGAAACUGGCCCGCAUGGGCAUGGUUUGGAAAGUUUUUCGGUUUGGGAUGGGCUCGCGGCCUAUCAGCUUGUUGGUGAGGUAAUGGCUCACCAAGGCGACGACGGGUAGCCGGCCUGAGAGGGCGACCGGCGACAAUGGGACUGAGAGACGGCCCAGACUCCUACGGGAGGCAGCAGUGGGGAAUAUUGCACAAUGGGCGAAAGCCUGAUGCAGAGACGCCGCGUGAGGGAUGACGGCCUUCGGGUUGUAAACCUCUUUCAGCAGGGAAGAAGCGAAAGUGACGGUACCUGCAGAAGAAGCACCGGCUAACUACGUG
rnacentral:rRNA from 1 species